AGAGGAGCACAGAGAGAGAGAGAGAGGAGCACAGAGAGAGAGAGAGAGGAGCACAGAGAGAGAGAGACGGUGUGUGAGAGAGAGAGAGACGGUGUGAGAGCGGAGGGACGUCAUGCUGCUGAUUACAACCAGAGUGAGUUGGGGAGACGGAGAACCUCAUACUACUUCUUUCACUUCACCUUUUACGUUGGAGAGGGGGGGGCGAAAGUUUAACAAAACCAUUUUUGUUUUUAACAAAGCACUACUUAUCAGCUUCACUCAGGAGACGUCGCUGACUCAGCGGAGCCCGGUAGAGGGGAGGAGAGACUGAGGGAGCUGGAGAGAAGCCAGUAUGAUUGGUGCAGAACAACAGACUGACAGCAUGGGUGAAGAGGGGCCCCCUAGUCUGGAGUACAUCCAAGCCAAGGACCUGUUCCCCCCGAAGGAGCUGGUCAGUGAGGACGACAACCUGCAGGUGGGUGACUGAGAACACACACACACCAGGUAGAGUAGACAAAGCCCACACACAA